AUGGUGGUGGGGGCAUCAUGGUUUGGGGCUGCUUUGCUGCGUCAGGGCCUGGACAGAUUGCUAUCAUCGAAGGAAAAAUUAAUUCCCAAGUUUAUCAAGACAUUUUGCAGAACUUAAGGCCAUCCGUCUACCAGCUGAAGCUCAACAGAAGAUGGGUGUUGCAACAGGACAAUGACCCAAAGCAUAGAAGUAAAUCAACAACAGAAUGGCUUCAACAGAAGAAAAUACGCCUUCUGAAGUGGCCCAGUCAGAGUCCUCAC